GAUGAACGCUGGCGGCGUGCCUAAUACAUGCAAGUCGAGCGAACGGACGAGAAGCUUGCUUCUCUGAUGUUAGCGGCGGACGGGUGAGUAACACGUGGAUAACCUACCUAUAUGACUGGGAUAACUUCGGGAAACCGUAGCUAAUACCGGAUAAUAUUUUGAACCGCAUGGUUCAAAAGUGAAAGACGGUCUUGGUGUCACUUAUAGAUGGAUCCGCGCUGCAUUAGCUAGUUGGUAAGGUCACGGCUUACCAAGGCAACGAUGCAUAGCCGACCUGAGAGGGUGAUCGGGCACACUGGAACUGAGACACGGUCCAGACUCCUACGGGAGGCAGCAGUAGGGAAUCUUCCGAAAUGGGCGAAAGCCUGACGGAGCAACGCCGCGUGAGUGAUGAAGGUCUUCGGAUCGUAAAACUCUGUUAUUAGGGAUAAACAUAUGUGUAAGUAACUGUGCACAUCUUGACGGUACCUAAUCAGAAAGCCACGGCUAACUACGUG
rnacentral:rRNA from 1 species